GAUGAACGCUAGCUACAGGCUUAACACAUGCAAGUCGAGGGACCGGCGCCCGGGUGAGUAACACGUAUCCAACCUGCCCUUUACUCGGGGAUAGCCUUUAGAAAGAAAGAUUAAUACCCGAUGUAAAGGAUGGGGAUGCUUUCCAUUAGGUUGUUGGUGAGGUAACGACUCACCAAGCCUUCGAUGGAUAGGGGUUCUGAGAGGAAGGUCCCCCACAUUUGAACUGUGACGCGGUCCAGACUCCUACGGGAUGCAGCAGUGAGGAAUAGUGGUCAAUGGGCGUUAGCCUGAACCAGCCAAGUAGCGUGAAGGAUGAAGGCUUAUGGGUCGUAAACUUCUUUUAUAUAAGAAUAUGUAGUAUAUGAAUAAGGAUCGGCUAACUCCGUGCCAGCCGCCGCGGUAAUUC
rnacentral:rRNA from 1 species